rnacentral:rRNA from 1 species
UACGGAGGAUGCAAGCGUUAUCCGGAAUGAUUGGGCGUAAAGCGUCCGCAGGUGGCUGUGUAAGUCUGCUGUCAAAGAGCGAAGCUCAACUUCGUAAAGGCAGUGGAAACUACACGGCUAGAGUGCGUUCGGGGCAGAGGGAAUUCCUGGUGUAGCGGUGAAAUGCGUAGAGAUCAGGAAGAACACCGGUGGCGAAGGCGCUCUGCUAGGCCGCAACUGACACUGAGGGACGAAAGCGUGGGGAGCAAAACGG